AACGAACGCUGGCGGCAUGCCUAACACAUGCAAGUCGAACGGGACCUUCGGGUCUAGUGGCGCACGGGUGCGUAACGCGUGGGAACCUGCCCUUAGGUUCGGAAUAACUCCCCGAAAGGGGUGCUAAUACCGGAUAAUGUCUUCGGACCAAAGAUUUAUCGCCUUUGGAUGGGCCCGCGUUGGAUUAGCUAGUUGGUAGGGUAAAAGCCUACCAAGGCGACGAUCCAUAGCUGGUCUGAGAGGAUGAUCAGCCACACUGGGACUGAGACACGGCCCAGACUCCUACGGGAGGCAGCAGUGGGGAAUAUUGGACAAUGGGCGAAAGCCUGAUCCAGCAAUGCCGCGUGAGUGAUGAAGGCCUUAGGGUUGUAAAGCUCUUUUAACCGGGAUGAUAAUGACAGUACCGGGAGAAUAAGCGCCGGCUAACUCCGUG
rnacentral:rRNA from 1 species